UCACCUUCUCACCCCUCCCCCUCCUACACCUGGAUGUUAGUCGCCGCUUCAGACACCUGUGCAUUUAUCCAACAAUCAGAGGAAAAAACACCAUCGUCUCUUACCUCUCCCUACUCAGCUUCUAAUCCCCAUUCUCCAACCAUGGCAGGCGCUCACCUUCUCGCCCCUCCCCCUCCACCUCCAAGCGCCUCACCCAGCGGUUCCUCAACAGCCCGCAGCUGUCGCUCAAGUUGCUUCCGCUUCUCUCCUCCUGCCUCCCCCCUUGAUGCCGUCCGCCGCCGACCGGACCUGGAUGAACGAGCACGUCCUCAACGCCAAGCAGGCGCAGUGCUCUAGCAGUCUGGCCUCCUCGGCGUCGACGCAGUCUGCAUCCAUCUAGUACUACAUCCACCAAGAGUUCUAAAGAACAGAGGAAGAUUCCUGUGCUUGGAGUUGAGUCAUGUGAUUGUUCAGAUUUUUAAAGACAUGUAGGUUUCCUUUGGUCAUGUUGUUGCUGUAGGAUAACUUCGUAUGACCACUGUCUUAAACAUUCAGUUAAAAACAAACAAGCAGAUCCUGUCAUUUUUUUUAAAAGCAUAGGGCUACAAUAACUUGCAACAAAAUUAAUAUCUGCUUGCAAAACUAUGUGGUUUCCUUUAGUCAAGUAUGUUGUCGCUGGAAUUUGCCCAAAAUUGUGUACUUAUAACCAAUGACGCAUAUAGUCUUGUGUAUUAAUGCCUUGAAAUUUCCCUGUAUCGCCCCUCUUCUCCUCUUUGUGCCGCUGCCCCUUGUUCGGUUUGGUUCGAUUUACUUUUCUUCCCGUUUCCCUAGUGCGGUUUCCUCAUGUAGGUGCUGCUGCAUGAUGUGCACCGGGGAUAAGGAAAAAAAGAGAAGGCUGUUCAGGUGACGAGGAAACCAAAUGGGACGUGGUGCUAGGCCUCAAUGAAUCCAAAAAGAGCUCAAUGGUGUGUUGUAUAUUCGUCUGUUGUUUGAGAUAGACUUGUCAAUUUCCAGAGCUAGUAUGUGAAUAACACUCUACAUUUUGAGGUUUAGAGCACUUGUUUGCACUUGGUUGGCACCAUGUGGUGGUGAUUGUGGUUGCCAACAUUCAGCCAGUGUGUGUCUUGCUGUAGUGAGUAAUUGGAUUGAGUUCUGGAGCAAUAUGCAACUGUAGGAACAGGCUUCAUUCCGCUCGUAUGUGAGUCUCAAUGUUGGCGUUGGUUUCUGAGAUCAUGAAGCUAGCUAGCUAUUAUGUCUAGUAUCUCCUGGUAUGAUUUGUUUAGUCUCCAUUCUGGCGUUGGUUUCAAAAUGACCAGUGCGCAUUUGCGGAUGUGCAGUAUGGCCUCGCCCACAAUUCUCUGUACGUCAUGCUUGGCGUCUCACAUCGUUCCGUUGAUUUCUUGCAGAUAUUGCGUAGGAGGUUGAGGGACAUGAGGUCCGGCAGUGAGCUUAAAGCUCUGUUGCUAUUCAACGGUCUUAGGAAUCUCUUCAAAUAAACAUAUGAGGUAUAUGUUCUGCCCCUCUCGAUAUGCUUAGCAGAAUAAUUAAUUUGUGAUGAUCCUGUUUUCCUAUUGUCUAAUCUUGGAGUAAGUUUCUCUUGAAUAUAUGUGAUCUAUUUUAUCACUUUGUGGUACUCUUUAAUCUCUUUGGUUAAUAUAAACAUGGUUGUGCAAUUAUGAUUGAAAUCACAUCAACAGAAUGUCUACGCCUAAUUAUUAUUGGAAUUACCUUAACACUUGUUUCACAAUACAUAGCAAUCUUGCGGCUACUCCUGAACCCAAAACCGGCCAUCCACUUGAUUACCUGUAUCAAACCAUGGCGGGAAGUUGUUGAUUUUGUCGAAAGUAGCAAUCAAAGGCAUGCCUGGCUACCCCGAUGAACGCCAAGGGGUUCAGAGAUAUGGGGAUGCAGACCAUGUCCAUCACCAGGUGCCGCUGAUGCAUUCUCUGGCAGGUGCACCCGCUUCCACUUGGGCAGUAGCUGCUUCUCCCCGACGCCCACCACUGCUACGGGCUGCCGCUGCUACUGCUCUUGCUCGUCGGCGCUGCAUGCUGCUGCUCGCCGAAGCCCUCGUGCUGCCGUCGUCCUGGACCUAGUCGCGAGUCGCGACUCACACCAUGGUUGCCGCCACAAACUGCCGUGUUCUCUGAAGAACGCAACAUCAAAGCAGCAAAAGCUUCACCACCGCUGGCUCCCAUGACAUCGCUUUUUCUCCGGCGAUUCCAACUGUACUGCCCCGCCAUUGUUGUCAUCCUCUUGGAGCUACUUUAGCCAGGAAUGGGUGUACUCCCGCCCGGCGACGUCAAUGGCGAUGGAGGUGUGGAAAGAGUCGGAGGCGGCAAGCAGGGCGAGCGGGGCGGGCGAAGAGCAGGCCGAGGCCAAGGCGGCACGGGAGUGCCAGCCUUGAGGCCCGCCUCCACCUGCAAGAACUUCGAGACGCAGCGCUGGAUCCCUCUGUCUCCCACGCCCAUCCUCCGUCCCCCCGCCCGUCCUCCGUCACCGAGCUCCGGCGAGCUCCUACCUAGGACCUGCUGAUGCCAUGGGUGCGCCCGGGAAGCCUCGCCGCCGGCCUUGCUCAUCGUCACCGGUGACCCCCGCCUCGCUGCCGGCCUCUGGAUCCGCCUCCCAAGCGCCUUCCGUGCAUGGAUCCGUCCCCUUCAAGAUCCAUCCGCCGCCACCUUCUGCAUCGAGCCGCCGCCAGCCGCUCGUGCCGCCGCGCGUUGACCCGAUCCUGAACCUGACGUAUGGACUACGGGUUGAAUAUACUAAACAAUAGGGCCCUUUUUGUAAAAAUGAAGCAUUUUCUCAGAACCACUUAUAAAGGGAUUGCGGGUUGCAUUACUAAAAAGUAGAAGGACCUUUUUGCAAAACAGCCGUGACGACGGACGACCAGAAGCACUCGGUGCUUUAUUAGUAGGGAGAGAUUAGAAGAUAAAGAUAGAAAUAAAGAUAUAUAACAUAAGGAUAUGUUAGUGGCUUAACUAAUCAAUCCAGAAACAAAGAUAAGGUCAUCUAAAUGCAACAUACAAAUUAUUGGGUUUACCAUGUAAUAAGCAACCACUAUUUUUGCAAAUACUUUUUCCAGCUCCUUGGGCAUCCAGCCACAAAAUGAUGAUAUAAAAAAUUCUUAAUAUCCAUCCAUAAAAAAUAAAUGAAAUCAAGAAACCAACAUAAAUCUGAAUAAGAUAGGUCUUGACAUUGCCAUCUAGAGUAUGCAGCUGGCCACCCACUCAUUUCUCUUAAUAAACAAGCUAGUUAAGUGAGAAUGCCUACCCAUAUACUCUCUCCGUUUCUAAAUAUAAGUCUUUGGAGAGAUUCCACUAUGGACCACAUACGGAGCAAAAUGAGUGAAUCUAAACUCUAAAAUGCAUCUAGAUACAUCCGUAUGUUGUCCAUAGUGAAAUAUCUACAAAGACUUUGUAACGCCCCAAGACCGUUGCGCCAGGUGUCUUUCAGUUAUUCGUUGUUGUUGCCUUGUUAUUUGUUUGCAU